GGUGUCAUUGCAAUCAAAUGUGGGCGGGGCUUAGGACGAAACCCGGUGACAGUGGGAAACGUUAUCUGCAAACGUUGCAAUUUUGACGAGUUUAUUCGUUUAUUUUUGGUUUUGAGAAAUGAACGUUAAUGCGCGCCGCGGAGGCAUGUCGAUAAGGAGAAAUGCAGGGCGGUCAUUUGGAGGGAAACGUGCAAUGAUCCCACCACCGUCGAUGACGUUUUGUUUGUUUUGACGUCUCGUCAACCGGGGACGGCUAAGGACCACUUCUUUUAGUUUUCUUUCACAAAAUGAAGUCAGCUUUGCGCAACCAAGGGUGUUCCCCGCCUCUCGCCCAACGUCAGCUGGGAUGGCCACUUGCUCACCGUGACCCGAAUGAGGAUAAGACGAACAGAAAAUGGAUUGGUGGAUUGAUACUUCCUGUUCUGAUCUGGUGUGGCAGGGCCGUGACGGAAGCGGCGCAGAUGGCUUCAGAUGCCCCGCAACUGUUUGGUGCAGGGAUGGCCAGAGAAUGCCAAGGGGUGGCCGCGUAGCUCCGCCCCUGACCUGAACCCUUUCAACCGGGGAAAAGAUACGUUGGAAUCUCAAA